rnacentral:rRNA from 1 species
UAAGUGAUCCACCUGGGGAGUACGACCGCAAGGUUGAAACUCAAAGGAAUUGACGGGGGCCCGCACAAGCGGAGGAACAUGUGGUUUAAUUCGAUGAUACGCGAGGAACCUUACCUGGGCUUAAAUGUAGAACGACGGACCGGGAAACUGGUCUUUCUUCGGACGGUCUGCAAGGUGCUGCAUGGCUGUCGUCAGCUCGUGCCGUGAGGUGUCGGGUUAAGUCCCAUAACGAGCGCAACCCUCAUCAUUAGUUGCCAGCGGUCACUGCCGCGCGACUCUAAUGAAACUGCCGGUCCUCCCCCCGAGCGCGAAGGUGGGGAUGACGUCAAGUCAGCACGGCCCUUAUGUCCAGGGCUACACACGUGUUACAAUGGUCGGUACAAAGGGCAGCUACCUGGCGACAGGAUGCUAAUCUCGAAAACCGAUCUCAGUUCGGAUCGAAGUCUGCAACUCGACUUCGUGAAGCUGGAUUCGCUAGUAAUCGCGCAUCACCCAUGGCGCGCUGAUACGUUCCCGGGCAUUGACACACCGCCCGUCAAGCCAUGGAAGCUGGGG